UGAACGCUGGCGGCGUGCUUAACACAUGCAAGUCGAACGGGCUAGAUCGGAAGCUGCUUUGAUUAAGUAGUGGCGGACGGGUGAGUAACGCGUGGGGUAACCUGCCUCGUACAGGGGGAUAGCAGCUGGAAACGGCUGGUAAAACCGCAUAAGCGCACAACUUCGCAUGAAGGAGUGUGAAAAUAUUUAUAGGUACGAGAUGGGCCCGCGUCUGAUUAGCCAGUUGGCAGGGUAACGGCCUACCAAAGCGACGAUCAGUAGCCGGCCUGAGAGGGCGGACGGCCACAUUGGGACUGAGACACGGCCCAAACUCCUACGGGAGGCAGCAGUGGGGGAUAUUGCACAAUGGGCGAAAGCCUGAUGCAGCGACGCCGCGUUGAGUGAAGAAGUAUUUCGGUAUGUAAAGCUCUAUCAGCAGGGAAGAAAGGCCUCGAAAGAGGAGAUGACGGUACCUGACGUAAGAACGCCCCGGCUAACUACGUGCCAGCCGCCGC
rnacentral:rRNA from 1 species